rnacentral:misc_RNA from 1 species
AAAAUAUGCAAAUAUUGGUUCCAAAUUUAUAAAUGAAAUCCUUCUCAUCACUGGUAUAUCCGUCUUUUCUAACUAAUAGAAUGUGCAUUUUUUUAACCUUAAUAUUUUUUGAAACAUUCUUAAACUUAAUAUAAUCACAACAGCAUUAAUUUUCUGGUAACGGUAAUAAAGUCAUUACAUCAAUUUUCAGUCACACAAUUAAAUAAAUGGAUGGGAUUUUAAUUUUUAGAUAACAUUAUCCUGAACCCAA